rnacentral:tRNA from 1 species
UCUAAUAUGGCAGAUUAGUGCAAUGGAUUUAAGCUCCAUAUAUAAAGAAAUUUUCUUUUAUUAGAA